AAGUCGAGCGGACAGAUGGGAGCUUGCUCCCUGAUGUUAGCGGCGGACGGGUGAGUAACACGUGGGUAACCUGCCUGUAAGACUGGGAUAACUCCGGGAAACCGGGGCUAAUACCGGAUGGUUGUCUGAACCGCAUGGUUCAGACAUAAAAGGUGGCUUCGGCUACCACUUACAGAUGGACCCGCGGCGCAUUAGCUAGUUGGUGAGGUAACGGCUCACCAAGGCGACGAUGCGUAGCCGACCUGAGAGGGUGAUCGGCCACACUGGGACUGAGACACGGCCCAGACUCCUACGGGAGGCAGCAGUAGGGAAUCUUCCGCAAUGGACGAAAGUCUGACGGAGCAACGCCGCGUGAGUGAUGAAGGUUUUCGGAUCGUAAAGCUCUGUUGUUAGGGAAGAACAAGUGCCGUUCAAAUAGGGCGGCACCUUGACGGUACCUAACCAGAAAGCCACGGCUAACUACGUGCCAGCAGCCGCGGUAAUACGUAGGUGGCAAGCGUUGUCCGGAAUUAUUGGGCGUAAAGGGCUCGCAGGCGGUUUCUUAAGUCUGAUGUGAAAGCCCCCGGCUCAACCGGGGAGGGUCAUUGGAAACUGGGGAACUUGAGUGCAGAAGAGGAGAGUGGAAUUCCACGUGUAGCGGUGAAAUGCGUAGAGAUGUGGAGGAACACCAGUGGCGAAGGCGACUCUCUGGUCUGUAACUGACGCUGAGGAGCGAAAGCGUGGGGAGCGAACAGGAUUAGAUACCCUGGUAGUCCACGCCGUAAACGAUGAGUGCUAAGUGUUAAGGGGUUUCCGCCCCUUAGUGCUGCAGCUAACGCAUUAAGCACUCCGCCUGGGGGAGUAC
rnacentral:rRNA from 1 species